rnacentral:rRNA from 3 species
GAGACCUCAGGUCAGGCGGGGCUACCCGCUGAAUUUAAGCAUAUCAAUAAGCGGAGGAAAAGAAACUAACAAGGAUUCCCUUAGUAACGG